rnacentral:tRNA from 1 species
GCACCCGUCGUUCAACGGAUAGGACAUCGGUCUUCGGAACCGAGAAUGGGAGUUCGAUUCUCUCCGGGUGCA